rnacentral:sRNA from 1 species
GGAUGUGAGGGCGAUCUGGCUGCGACAUCUGUCACCCCACUGAUCGCCAGGGUUGAUUUGGCUGAUCUGGCUGGCUAGGCGGGUGUCCCGUUCCUCCCUCAACGCUCCAUGUGUGUCCCUCUCGAAGCUGUGUGCUCGGUCAAAGGGGACAACCUUUUUUUUUUUUUUUUUCUACCACUCUGCAGAGGGACCUAGACAGGCUGGAGAGUUGGGCUGAUUCCAACGAGAUGAGGUUCAACAAGGCCAAGUGCCGGGUCCUGCACUUUGGC